CUGACGGGCGCGUCCGGGUCAAUUGCGGAAUGCAACACCCGAUCUCUCUCCCCGUCCCUCCCUCGAUGGAGGUCGGGAAGGGAGAGCGCGUCACCAUCAG
rfam:Natronomonas pharaonis DSM 2160 complete genome